UCCAGACUCCUACGGGAGGCAGCAGUGGGGAAUAUUGCACAAUGGGGGGAACCCUGAUGCAGCGACGCCGCGUGGGUGAAGGAGCGUUUCGGCGCGUAAAGCCCUAUCGGCAGGGAAGAAGGAGGACGGUACCUGACUAAGAAGCCCCGGCUAACUACGUGCCAGCAGCCGCGGUAAUACGUAGGGGGCAAGCGUUAUCCGGAUUUACUGGGUGUAAAGGGGGCGCAGACGGCAGCGCAAGCCAGGAGUGAAAGCCCGGGGCCCAACCCCGGGACUGCUCUUGGAACUGCGCGGCUGGAGUGCAGGAGGGGCAGGCGGAAUUCCUGGUGUAGCGGUGAAAUGCGUAGAUAUCAGGAGGAACACCGGUGGCGAAGGCGGCCUGCUGGACUGCGACUGACGUUGAGGCCCGAAAGCGUGGGGAGCAAACAGGAUUAGAUACCCGCGUAC
rnacentral:rRNA from 1 species